rnacentral:rRNA from 1 species
ACGGGAGGCAGCAGUGGGGGAUAUUGCACAAUGGGGGAAACCCUGAUGCAGCGACGCCGCGUGAGUGAUGAAGUAUUUCGGUAUGUAAAGCUCUAUCAGCAGGGAAGAAAAUGACGGUACCUGACUAAGAAGCACCGGCUAAAUACGUGCCAGCAGCCGCGGUAAUACGUAUGGAGCAAGCGUUAUCCGGAUUUACUGGGUGUAAAGGGAGCGUAGACGGGACAGCAAGUCUGAUGUGAAAGGCAGGGGCUUAACCCCUGGACUGCAUUGGAAACUGCAGACCUUGAGUGCCGGAGAGGUAAGCGGAGUUCCUAGUGUAGCGGUGAAAUGCGUAGAUAUUAGGAGGAACACCAGUGGCGAAGGCGGCUUACUGGACGGUAACUGACGUUGAGGCUCGAAAGCGUGGGGAGCAAACAGGAUUAGAUACCCUGGUA